rnacentral:misc_RNA from 1 species
UCCCCGUUAACGGGGCAGUCCAAGUAGAAAAAUUCAACUACUUGCAAGGGUUGCGCUCGUUGAUGGACUUAACCAAACAUCUCACGACACGAGCUGACGACGGCCAUGCAUCACCUGUCACUAGAUUCCUUGCGGCACUCACUCCUUUCGGAGUAAUUCCUAGGAUGUCAAGCCCUGGUAAGGUUCUCCGUUUAGCAUCGAAUUAAAGAACACGAUCCACCGCUUGUGCGGGUCCCCGUCAAUUCCUUUAUGUUUUAGUCUUGCGACCGUACUCCACAGGCGGGAUACUUAACGCGUUAGCUUCGCUACUGGAGGGGUCGAUACCCCCAACAGCUAGUAUCCAUAGUUUACGGCGUGGACUAC